GGGGAAUAUUGCACAAUGGGGGAAACCCUGAUGCAGCGACGCCGCGUGGAGGAAGAAGGUCUUCGGAUUGUAAACUCCUGUUGUUGGGGAAGAUAAUGACGGUACCCAACAAGGAAGUGACGGCUAACUACGUGCCAGCAGCCGCGGUAAAACGUAGGUCACAAGCGUUGUCCGGAAUUACUGGGUGUAAAGGGAGCGCAGGCGGGAAGACAAGUUGGAAGUGAAAUCUAUGGGCUCAACCCAUAAACUGCUUUCAAAACUGUUUUUCUUGAGUAGUGCAGAGGUAGGCGGAAUUCCCGGUGUAGCGGUGGAAUGCGUAGAUAUCGGGAGGAACACCAGUGGCGAAGGCGGCCUACUGGGCACCAACUGACGCUGAGGCUCGAAAGUGUGGGUAGCAAACAGGAUUAGAUACCCUGGUAGUCCACACCGUAAACGAUGAUUACUAGGUGUUGGAGGAUUGACCCCUUCAGUGCCGCAGUUAACACAAUAAGUAAUCCACCUGGGGAGUACGACCGCAAGGUUGAAACUCAAAGGAAUUGACGGGGGCCCGCACAAGCAGUGGAGUAUGUGGUUUAAUUCGACGCAACGCGAAGAACCUUACCAAGUCUUGACAUCCCUUGACAGGCAUAGAAAUAUGUUUUCUCUUCGGAGCAAGGAGACAGGUGGUGCAUGGUUGUCGUCAGCUCGUGUCGUGAGAUGUUGGGUUAAGUCCCGCAACGAGCGCAACCCUUAUGGUCAGUUACUACGCAAGAGGACUCUGGCCAGACUGCCGUUGACAAAACGGAGGAAGGUGGGGAUGACGUCAAAUCAUCAUGCCCUUUAUGACUUGGGCUACACACGUACUACAAUGGCGUUAAACAAAGAGAAGCAAGACCGCGAGGUGGAGCAAAACUCAGAAACAACGUCCCAGUUCGGACUGCAGGCUGCAACUCGCCUGCACGAAGUCGGAAUUGCUAGUAAUCGUGGAUCAGCAUGCCACGGUGAAUACGUUCCCG
rnacentral:rRNA from 2 species